GGGCUUGUAGUUCAGAGGCAGAAUACUCUCUUAGCAAGGGGGUGACCCGAAUUCGAUUCCCUGCGAGUCCA
rnacentral:tRNA from 1 species